GUUCUAUACAUGCAGUCGAGCGGACAGAUGGGAGCUUGCUCCCUGAUGUUAGCGGCGGACGGGUGAGUAACACGUGGGUAACCUGCCUGUAAGACUGGGAUAACUCCGGGAAACCGGGGCUAAUACCGGAUGGUUGUUUGAACCGCAUGGUUCAAACAUAAAAGGUGGCUUCGGCUACCACUUACAGAUGGACCCGCGGCGCAUUAGCUAGUUGGUGAGGUAACGGCUCACCAAGGCGACGAUGCGUAGCCGACCUGAGAGGGUGAUCGGCCACACUGGGACUGAGACACGGCCCAGACUCCUACGGGAGGCAGCAGUAGGGAAUCUUCCGCAAUGGACGAAAGUCUGACGGAGCAACGCCGCGUGAGUGAUGAAGGUUUUCGGAUCGUAAAGCUCUGUUGUUAGGGAAGAACAAGUACCGUUCGAAUAGGGCGGUACCUUGACGGUACCUAACCAGAAAGCCACGGCUAACUACGUGCCAGCAGCCGCGGUAAUACGUAGGUGGCAAGCGUUGUCCGGAAUUAUUGGGCGUAAAGGGCUCGCAGGCGGUUUCUUAAGUCUGAUGUGAAAGCCCCCGGCUCAACCGGGGAGGGUCAUUGGAAACUGGGGAACUUGAGUGCAGAAGAGGAGAGUGGAAUUCCACGUGUAGCGGUGAAAUGCGUAGAGAUGUGGAGGAACACCAGUGGCGAAGGCGACUCUCUGGUCUGUAACUGACGCUGAGGAGCGAAAGCGUGGGGGAGCGAACAGGAUUAGAUACGGGGGUAGUCCA
rnacentral:rRNA from 1 species